UGGGGAAUUUUGGACAAUGGGGAAACCCUGAUCCAGCCAUCCCGCGUGUGCGAUGAAGGCCUUCGGGUUGUAAAGCACUUUUGGCAGGAAAGAAACGUCGCGGGUUAAUACCCCGCGAAACAUGACGGUACCUGCAGAAUAAGCACCGGCUAACUACGUGCCAGCAGCCGCGGUAAUACGUAGGGUGCAAGCGUUAAUCGGAAUUACUGGGCGUAAAGCGUGCGCAGGCGGUUCGGAAAGAAAGAUGUGAAAUCCCAGAGCUUAACUUUGGAACUGCAUUUUUAACUACCGGGCUAGAGUGUGUCAGAGGGAGGUGGAAUUCCGCGUGUAGCAGUGAAAUGCGUAGAUAUGCGGAGGAACACCGAUGGCGAAGGCAGCCUCCUGGGAUAACACUGACGCUCAUGCACGAAAGCGUGGGGAGCAAACAGGAUUAGAU
rnacentral:rRNA from 1 species